rnacentral:rRNA from 1 species
GUCGAGGAUCAUUUGCAAUGGGCGCAAGCCUGACAAUGCGACGCUGCGUGGAGGAUGAAGGCCUUCGGGUUGUAAACUCCUGUCAUUCGGGAAAAAUAGCGGGCCGGUGAAUAAUCGGUCCGAAUGAUGGUACCGGAAGAGGAAGCCACGGCUAACUCUGUGCCAGCAGCCGCGGUAAUACAGAGGUGGCAAGCGUUGUUCGGAUUUACUGGGCGUAAAGGGUGCGUAGGUGGUCCAGCAUGUCAGGUGUGAAAGCCCACGGCUCAACUGUGGAACUGCAUCUGAAACUGCGGGGCUUGAGUGCAGGAUGGGAGAGCGGAAUUCUUGGUGUAGCGGUGAAAUGCGUUGAUAUCAAGAAGAACACCGGUGGCGAAGGCGGCUCUCUGGAAUGCAACUGACACUGAGGCACGAAAGCUGGGGGAGCAAACAGGAUUAGAAACCCUAGUAGUCC